rnacentral:rRNA from 1 species
GACGAACCGUCCAAACGUUAUUCGGAAUUACUGGGCUUAAAGGGUGCGUAGGCGGCGCGGUAAGUUGGGUGUGAAAUCCCUCGGCUCAACCGAGGAAUUGCGCUUGAUACUGCCGUGCUCGAGGGAGACAGAGGUGAGCGGAACUUAGGGUGGAGCGGUGAAAUGCGUUGAUAUCCUAAGGAACACCAGUGGCGAAAGCGGCUCACUGGGUCUCUUCUGACGCUGAGGCACGAAGGCUAGGGGAGCGAACGGG